rnacentral:rRNA from 1 species
UACGUAGGGUGCGAGCGUUAAUCGGAAUUACUGGGCGUAAAGCGUGCGCAGGCGGUUCGUUAAGUUCGUUGUGAAAGCCCCGGGCUUAACCUGGGAAUGGCAUUGGAAACUGGCUCGCUGGAGUGUGGCAGAGGGGGGUGGAAUUCCAGGUGUAGCAGUGAAAUGCGUAGAUAUCUGGAGGAACACCGAUGGCGAAGGCAGCCCCCUGGGCUAACACUGACGCUCAUGCACGAAAGCGUGGGGAGCAAACAGG